UACGGAGGGGGCUAGCGUUGCUCGGAAUCACUGGGCGUAAAGGGUGCGUAGGCGGGUCUUUUAAGUCAGGGGUGAAAUCCCGGAGCUUAACUCCGGAACUGCCUUUGAAACUGUAUAGCUGGAGUAUGUGAGGGGAUAGCGGAAUUCCUAAUGUAGAGGUGAAAUUCGUAGAUAUUAGGAGGAACACCGGUGGCGAAGGCGGCUAUCUGGCACAUUACUGACGCUGAGGCGCGAAAGCGUGGGGAUCAAACAGGG
rnacentral:rRNA from 1 species